CCAAAUAGUCUCUAAGGUGCCACAAGUACUCCUCAAUCUUUUUGAUUUCUUGGGGAUCAUUCCACUCAAAUCAAAGACUGAGAAUAAAGUUUGCAUGAAUCUCUGUGAUCCAAAACCACCAAUUUAUAGACAAUCCUAAUUCUACAAAAUCUUAUGAAACAACAAUUUUAGAUUCUGGACCAUAAAGCUACAAUGAAGCUGAACAGUUCUAUCCUGGAUGUAAACGAGAUAUCUUACAUUCAGAAAAGUGUGUCAGCCCUGGAUCUGAACUUCCGUCAAGUCUGGAGGUGUCUGGAUCUGGGGUGAAAUCCUGGCCUCAUUGAAGUUAAUAGCAAAACUCUUAUUGAUUUCAGUGGGGAGAUGAUUUCACCCAUGGUUUUUUAAUUUAGCUCUUUAAAAAGGAAAGCCCAGCUUUAAAUUAUGGUUCUAGAUUUCAGCAGAGGUUGGAGAUGUACAGCCCCCUACCUGUACUUACAAUAUAAACUUACAUUGGUGUAGCUGAGUGUAGCUUUUGGCCUGCUGACUUCAGUGGAAGUUUUCUUGAAUUAGGGAUAAGAAAAAUGUAAGAACUUUGGGAUUUGACCCUAUAGUAAAUGCAAUGUGUAAACUUUUUGUUCUUAUGUACAAUAACAUUUUUACAGACUAUUUAUGUACCUCAGGCCUUGUCUACACUGGGUUUGUAGUCACUGUUGUAGUUACGCUGUGUCGGUAUAGACAUGCUGUAAUGAUGGAAAUGGUGACCAGUGCAACUCACUCUGAUUUAAAUUGUGUGUAUGUGUGUAGGCAAAGAAACAAUGUAGAUGGGGCAGAUUGUGGAGCUCUUACACUGGCUUGCUCUCCAGUUCAGCAGAUGCAUGGCCAGUUCUUAUUGCCUUCUUGGGACAUCUCAACCCACAGUCAUGGCUCACCAGACUUUCUGGCCAGGACCCUUCGCAGAUCUCAGUGCUUGGUUCCUUUGUCUCUUCAGGUGAAGGAUGCCAAAAUGAAUUUUUCUCUCUGUUUACAUCUUCCCAAAAUUCCCUGACCCUGCUUCAAGAGGCAGGAAGGUUUCCCACGGGUGCAGUCUGCAAUCGCCAUCAAGAUUGUUAGAUUUAAAGAAAGUAUCUCAUAUUCACCUGGCUCCAGAAGCUGGUGCUUUAGGAAAAACACCUGUUCUCACAAGACUCAACAUAAAAUCAUGCGAGUUGGCAACAUUGUGAGAGAUGCCCUUCGGUGACACUUGAGGACACUCCACACCUUGCAGAAUCAAGCCUUUAGGAUCCUUAAAAUGAAAGAUGCCAUAUGUAAAUGCCAGAUAUUAUUUUUACUAACAUGAAAUGGUGACAGGAGUUAACCUGUACUGUGAUGAACUAUGCUUUACCCAAAUGUUUGUAGAAUAGCUUUCAUCAAAGCCUGUCUUUGAAAAAAUAAGAUUGUAAGUUGGAGUUUCUAUCAUUCUAAAAUAACUGCUAUUUUCAUGGUUUAAGUGCCAUCUGUUUGAUUAAUUGUUACUUCCAGUGAAGUGGGCUGUGAAACAGCUGGGUGAAGAAAUACAUAAACCUAAAAGAAUUUGUAUAUUAAUGUCAUUCUUGUCUGUUCUUAAAUAUUUGGAGAAAAAGGGAACUUACUCAUUACAUGUGCUUGUAAACUCAGCCAGGAGUUGAAUUUGGACCAGAGAGUAGUCGUACUCUUCUAACAUACAUACAUAAACUGCAUCCAUUUGGGACAACAAAGUAAGAUUCUGCUCUCUGUUGAUUGUGCAGCUGUUCAAAAUAUGAUUGUGUAUUCUCCCUGUACUAUACUGGUUCCUUCAUGACUAGGAUUAAAAAUAACUGGUGGUAAGCUAUAGUUAGAAUAGACUAUGUAGAUCUUCAUAAUAUGAUAUUUUUUCACCUUUCUUCAUAUUUUGAUGAUCACUGAAAUUGUUAACAAUGUUGAUACUUAAAGUUUCAUCAUUAGCAUCGGAGCUGGUAUCCACUGAAAUGAACAGGCAUUUCAUAUCUCAGAACUAUUGUUUCAGACUCUCUGUAAACUUAGGCAAAUUGCUGUAUUGGUUACACUUGGCUCACAUUUUCAGAUUUUUUUUUGCGGCCAUAACAACUUUUUUUGGUUUUGUUUUUUUGUUUUUUAAAUUCUGGAGAACUGAAGGCAGCCUCAGAGAGGGUGGGUAGUAUGCUACCAACAUGACUCCCCAAAAUUUGAGUCCUUAUCUCAUCAGCUAUUGGCAGUGUGGAUGCUUAGUGAAGAAGUCUAUGAAAACAGUAAUUAAACUUUUAAAAUUGUGAACAUUAAGAUAUUUAUACACAGAGUUGCAAGGGGGAUGUUAUACACAUAAGAACAGCCAUACUGGGUCAGACCAAGCCAUGCUGUAUCUAUACACAGAAAGUUGCAACACCUUUAUCAUCAUAGAAAUCACAACUGCCUUCAAUUUUAAUGCCUUUUCUCAAAUAAUGGGUGAUAAUGUCAGCAUAUAAUGAUCAUACAAAAGUGCUCUCUGCACAUUUUACUACAGGUUAAACUAAAAAGGCCUUUUAUGAGUCUUCUGUUUGAAUCUAGCUUCUCUAUUUUGUCCAUAUAUUUCCUAUUUGUCUUGGUACCAUAAGCAUUCAGUUCUAUAUUUUGUAGUGUUCUCUGACAUAUAUUAUAAUAUAAAAUAGACUUCAAAAUUGUACCAUUCUAUUUAAAUGUGCUAGUACUCCUUUUACUCUCUUCAGUCUUUAACUUAAGAUCUUCGCUU